UGGAUAGAGGAGCGGAAAACAUCAGUAAUUCGUGGAGAAGGGAUUUGUUGAAACGGAUGAAAGGGUUACCGCCGAAGUUUGGUAGUGGCCGCACUGCCGGGCUGGGCCGCCGGUGAAGAACUGUCGGACUGUCGCCGUUAUCAUGGUGGAGUGCUAUCAG
rnacentral:ncRNA from 1 species